GGAGGAGUAGGGGAUCGAAAGACCUUGCGCUAAAGGAGCGGCUGAUGUCUGAUUAGCUAGUUGGUGGGGUAAAGGCUUACCAAGGCAACGAUCAGUAGCUGGUCUGAGAGGACGACCAGCCACACUGGGACUGAGACACGGCCCAGACUCCUACGGGAGGCAGCAGUGGGGAAUUUUGGACAAUGGGCGAAAGCCUGAUCCAGCCAUGCCGCGUGAGUGAAGAAGGCCUUCGGGUUGUAAAGCUCUUUUAGUCGGAAAGAAAGAGUCAUAGUAAAUAGCUAUGAUUUAUGACGGUACCGACAGAAAAAGCACCGGCUAACUACGUGCCAGCAGCCGCGGUAAUACGUAGGGUGCGAGCGUUAAUCGGAAUUACUGGGCGUAAAGGGUGCGCAGGCGGCCUUGUAAGUCAGAUGUGAAAGCCCCGGGCUUAACCUGGGAAUUGCGUUUGAAACUACAAAGCUAG
rnacentral:rRNA from 1 species